rnacentral:lncRNA from 1 species
UGAAAGGCUAAUUAAUUUUAAGUCUUCCUUUCAAAUGCUGCACAGAAAGUUGAUAUCAGUUACAUUAAGUCGGCGAUCACGCCGAAGCAGGUAAAGAAACGACCCUGUAGCGUGUGUUUGUGUGUGUCCAUUCGAAUUCAUGCUGAAAAAUACGAUCUUAAAGGUGAUUAGUACUCUUGUAACUCUAACUUUGGUUAUCUUCUAUUACGUGUGGCCAUGGCAACAGUUGAUGAACGUACUUCGAAAACACUAUGAUAUUCUCGUCGGCGUUUUCAAUCUGGAGGGCUGGCUUGAGAUCACGCAUCCUUUCCAUCUUUAUACAAAAAUUUCUUUUUAAUUGGACUAUUUUCAAAAGCUGAGUAACUUGUUUCUUCCUCGAUUUGAUCAUUUCAGAUAUGUGGACGAUUCUUCGAGGAUAGGGAGGGACGACAAAGGAAAUAUCUUCAUCUUAGAGAGAGUCGAAGAUAAUAUAUCGUAAACUUCCAUCAAUUGAUUUGAUUUUUGGCAUGUUGAUAAUGGUUCAAGCAGCAUAUGAAGAGAAUUAAGGUGGAACUUUUGGGCUUCCUUUUCAUAUAAAUCGACUUCAUAUUCCUAUUGUCAAAAGGAAACCUUAACUAUGCAUUUCAACAUUAGAAACAUUUAUAGGUCAAUCUAGGGUUGGGAAUGGUCCCGUUAGAACCGAACCGAACCCGAAAUUUUUGGGUAUUUAGUAAAAGGAACUAUCGGGUCCAAAUUUAAUUAUGGAUUAGUUCAAGUUUGAUUCUAUUCGGUUCAGUUCAGUUCCAUUCGGU